GAUGAACGCUGGCGGCGUGCCUAAUACAUGCCAGUCGAGCGAACGGACGAGAAGCUUGCUUCUCUGAUGUUAGCGGCGGACGGGUGAGUAACACGUGGAUAACCUACCUAUAAGACUGGGAUAACUUCGGGAAACCGGAGCUAACACCGGAUAAUAUUUUGAAAGGCAUGGUUCAAAAGUGAAAGCGGGUUUUGCGGUCACUAAUAGAUGGUUCCGCGCUGCAUUAGUUAGUUGGUAAGGUAACGGCUUACCAAGGCAACGAUGCAUAGCCGACCUGAGAGGGUGAUCGGCCACACUGGAACUGAGACACGGUCCAGACUCCUACGGGAGGCAGCAGUAGGGAAUCUUCCGCAAUGGGCGAAAGCCUGACGGAGCAACGCCGCGUGAGUGAUGAAGGUCUUCGGAUCGUAAAACUCUGUUAUUAGGGAAGAACAUAUGUGUAAGUAACUGUGCACAUCUUGACGGUACCUAAUCAGAAAGCCACGGCUAACUACGUG
rnacentral:rRNA from 1 species